UCUCGAUUCGGCCUUCUAGUUCCUCGACAACGGCAGGAUGCGGCGACAUUCUUUCUCGUUCCGAAUCCAGCUCUCCCUCGACCAUCUUGAUAUGGUUCUGAAGUUCUUUUAUAGUGUCCAAGGAGAUAGAAUACUCUACCCCUUGCUCCUUCAGUUCGUCUUCCAGCCUCUCAAUCUCGCUCUCCAACGAGUUCCUCCCAUUCGCAG
rnacentral:lncRNA from 1 species